rnacentral:rRNA from 1 species
CGCAUCUGUGCAUGCAGCAUAUCAAUAAGCGGAGGAAAAGAAACUAACAAGGAUUCCCUUAGUAACGGCGAGUGAAGCGGGAAGAGCUCAAAUCUGAAAUCUUCAAGGUUUUACCUUGACGAAUUGUAGUUUAAAGAAGUGUUUUCUGUUGAAGUUUUGGUAAAAGUUCUUUGGAAUAGGACAUCAUAGAGGGUGAGAAUCCCGUAUUUGACCAUUAUUUUCAGCUGUGUGAUACACUUUCAAAGAGUCGGAUUGUUUGGGAAUGCAGUCCAAAAUGGGUGGUAAAUUUCAUCUAAAGCUAAAUAUUGGCGAGAGACCGAUAGCGAACAAGUACCGUGAGGGAAAGAUGAAAAGAACUUUGAAAAGAGAGUUAAACAGUACGUGAAAUUGUCAAAAGGGAAGCGUUUGACACCAGUGUUGUUUUCUCGAAAAUCAAUUAAAAAGAGUUUAGAUUUUGUUGUGUAUUGACCUUAACAGCUUGCAUUUCAAUUUUCUUGCUUUUUUUAAUGCACUUUUCGUUUAACAAGUCAACAUCAGUUUCUUUUGUUGUAAAAAGGUCAUUGGAAGGUGGCUUUCUUUUCGGAGAAAGUGUUUAUAGCCUUUGACUCCUGCAAUCGGAGAGACUGAGGUCUGCAGCGUAGAUCCUUCGGGGUUAGAUACAUUUGUGCUAAGUUAUAGCUUUUUAUAGACAACUUGUUGACUAUGAUUAGUCUUGUAGCUUACUCGCUUAUGCUAUUUUACCUACGCUUAGGAUGUUGAUGUGAUACUGCGAGCA